rnacentral:rRNA from 1 species
UACGUAGGGCGCAAGCGUUGUCCGGAAUUAUUGGGCGUAAAGAGCUCGUAGGCGGUUUGUCGCGUCUGCUGUGAAAACCUAAGGCUCAACCUUGGGCUUGCAGUGGGUACGGGCAGACUAGAGUGCGGUAGGGGUGACUGGAAUUCCUGGUGUAGCGGUGGAAUGCGCAGAUAUCAGGAGGAACACCGAUGGCGAAGGCAGGUCACUGGGCCGCAACUGACGCUGGAGGAGCGAAAGCAUGGGGGAGCGAACAGG